rnacentral:rRNA from 1 species
CACGUAGUUAGCCGUGGCUUUCUGGUCAGGUACCGUCAAGGUACCGCCCUGUUCGAACGGUACUUGUUCUUCCCUGACAACAGAGCUUUACGAUCCGAAGACCUUCUUCGCUCACGCGGCGUUGCUCCGUCAGACUUUCGUCCAUUGCGGAAGAUUCCCUACUGCUGCCUCCCGUAGGGGUCUGGGCCGUGUCUCAGUCCCAGUGUGGCCGAUCACCCUCUCAGGUCGGCUACGCAUCGUCGCCUUGGUGAGCCGUUACCUCACCAACUAGCUAAUGCGCCGCGGGCCCAUCUGCAAGCGGCAGCUUGCGCCGCCUUUCAACCUUCCUUCAUGCGAAGGAAGGUAUUAUCCGGUAUUAGCCCCGGUUUCCCGGAGUUAUCCCCGUCUUGCAGGCAGGUUGCCCACGUGUUACUCACCCGUCCGCCGCUAACUUUCAAAAAGCAAGCUUCUUGAAAGUUCGCUCGACUUGCAUGUAUUAGGCACGCCGCCAGCGUUCGUCCUGAGCCAGGAUCAAACUCUA